UACAGAGGAUGCAAGCGUUAUCCGGAAUGAUUGGGCGUAAAGCGUCUGUAGGUGGCUUUUUAAGUCCGCCGUCAAAUCCCAGGGCUCAACUCUGGACAGGCGGUGGAAACUACCAAGCUGGAGUACGGUAGGGGCAGAGGGAAUUUCCGGUGGAGCGGUGAAAUGCGUAGAUAUGCGGAGGAACACCGAUGGCGAAGGCAAUCCCCUGGGCCUGCACUGACGCUCAUGCACGAAAGCGUGGGGAGCAAACAGG
rnacentral:rRNA from 1 species